GACGAACCGUGCAAACGUUGUUCGGAAUCACUGGGCUUAAAGGGCGCGUAGGCGGGUCUCCCAGUCUGUGGUGAAAUCCUCCAGCUUAACUGGAGAAGUGCCGUGGAUACUGGAGACCUCGAGGAGGAUAGGGGCAUCUGGAACGGUCGGUGGAGCGGUGAAAUGCGUUGAUAUCGACCGGAACACCGGUGGCGAAGGCGGCCUGCUGGGCAGUAGCUGACGCUGAUGCGCGACAGCGUGGGGAGCAAACAGG
rnacentral:rRNA from 1 species